CUCUCACUCUGUGUGCUGCUCAAAGACCCCCAAAAAAUCUGGCGCCUCUUCUUAUCCAGAAUCUAGAGAAGAAGAAAACGAUUGACGACGACGCCGAUGGCUUUGGAGAUUGCUCAACUUUUCGUCGGAUCAUCCAUUAAAUUAAGCAGCGUGGCGGGAAAAUCUAGGAGCGGCGUUUCUGGGAUCACUCGUGGUGGAUUAUCGUCGAUUUCGGCCGUACAUCUGCCCAGAAGGAUGUUUAUGCAGCUCGCUGGUUUGGGUUCGGUCUUGACGCUUCUGGAUUUUCCUGGUUUAGCGGCGCCAGUUCCUGAUAUGAAGGAACCUGAAGUGAUCAGUGUCCAGGACGUUGAAGCUCCCGAGUGGUGUGAGGAUUCAAGAGAUUCUUGAAGGGGAAGGACGAGAAGCUCAUGAAGGGGACCUUGUUGAACUAAACUAUGUAUGUCGACGUGCAAAUGGAUAUUUCGUUCAUAGCACUGUGGAUCAAUUCAGCGGCGAAAGUGCUCCUGUCAAACUUUUUCUUGACGACAAUGACGUCAUUGAGGGUUUGAAGGAAGUCUUGUUGGGCAUGAAAGCUGGAGGGAAGCGUAGAGCACUGAUACCUCCAUCGGUUGGGUACAUAAACGAGACAUUGAAGCCAAUCCCCGAGGAGUUUGGACCAAGACGUAGCCUUCUAUCGCACGCGAAUGAGCCUCUGGUCUUUGAAGUCCAGCUCUUGAAAGUAUUAUGAUCUUCUUCUUGGGACAAUGUCAAUGAAGUAUUUGGCUGUAUUUGUUUAUUUUCUCCUGUAAAUCUGUAAAACAAUCUGCGUAGAUCUAUCUCAUGAGUUCUCUUUUUCUGCUAAAGCUUUUAUUUAAGCUGUUUUUUAGACUUGAGUUGUUGGUGAAUUACUUAGGAGUAAUGUAUAGUUGUGAUUUGUGAACC